CACAAACCUACCAGAUGCCAGUGGCAUGGCCAGCUCUCACCUUGCCAUCCUGACUGUGCCGGACACACUCUGAGGUGGUCCCAUGAUCAUCAGCUCCUGGGGGUCAUGCCCUGUGUAAUUCCCUCCCUUAAGUGUGGGCAGACCCUGUGAUCUCCUCCUAAUGAAUAAAAGAUGGCAAAGGUCAUUAUGCCACAUGAAGACAACAACGUCCACCUUGCUGGGGACUAUCUCACCUUCACUGGCUUUCAUGAAACAAGAAGCCAUGUUAAGAUGGAAGAAACAGAGGAUGGCCCCCAACAAACCCCAGCCCAGAACCAAGGCUUUCAGUCUUAGAGAUAUGGGGGAUGGAACUCCACCCAGGUCAGGAUGCUUCAUAGAAAUGGCUUUCUUCCAUCUUUGCUGGAGUCCACAUGUACCCUUCCGUCACAGUGUCUGGUUCAUCUGA
rnacentral:lncRNA from 1 species